AUGGUCGACCUGCAGGCGGCCGCGAAUUCACUAGUGAUUAGAGUUUGAUCAUGGCUCAGAGUGAACGCUGGCGGCGUGGAUUAGGCAUGCAAGUCGAACGAUCCCGCAAGGGAUAGUGGCAAAAGGGCGAGUAACACGUGAGCAAUUUACCCUCAAGCGGGGAACAACCUUGGGAAACCGAGGCUAAAACCGCAUAAGACCACGGCAGGGCAUCCUGCUGUGAUAAAAAGUGGGGACCGCAAGGCCCGCUACUUGAGGAUGAGCUCGCGACCUAUCAGCUUGUUGGUGAGGUAAUGGCCCACCAAGGCUUUUGACGGGUAGCUGGUCUGAGAGGAUGGUCAGCCGCAUUGGGACUGAGACACUGCCCAGACUCCUACGGGAGGCUGCAGUCGAGGAUCUUUUGCAAUGCCCGAAAGGGUGACAAUGCGACGCCGCGUGUGUGAUGAAGGUCUUCGGMUCGUAAMACACUGUCAGCUGGGAGGAAUCUCA
rnacentral:rRNA from 1 species